rnacentral:rRNA from 1 species
UACGAAGGGGGCUAGCGUUGCUCGGAAUCACUGGGCGUAAAGGGUGCGUAGGCGGCCGCGCAAGUCGGAUGUGAAAUCUCAGGGCUCAACCCUGAAACUGCAUUCGAUACUGCGUGGCUAGAGUGCUGGAGAGGAGACUGGAAUUUACGGUGUAGCAGUGAAAUGCGUAGAUAUCGUAAGGAAGACCAGUGGAGAAGGCGAGUAUCUGGACAGCAACUGACGCUGAGGCACGAAGGCCAGGGGAGCAAACGGG